rnacentral:lncRNA from 1 species
ACUGAUGAUGCUAAAUGCUCGAAGCUGUAUUUAUUAUUAAUACAAACUUGUUUGCUUACGUUUCUACUUCUGAUUUGCCUUCUUGUGGGGCAGAUAAGCUUACCGUGUACUCGUACAGAUGGCUUCAUGCUGUUUACAUGCAUUGUCGGUGACGAGAAGGAUCGAGGGAGUGCAACAGCAGAGGUAUGAUGGCUGACUGCACCUCUGGAAUGCAGGUCCUAACGUAACAGAGACAUGUUGUAGCAGGAUGACCGGUCAUACCUCACUCCUUUCAGCCUCUCUCUGAACUCUCAUGCCUCCUUUUACACUGCUGUCUGAAUUUUAAAGACUUUUCAUAUUUUCUAUUCCUAUGCUUUCAACAUCUGAAAGGCAAGAUGACUUUAUACUUCAUGAAACUUUUCUGUGAGGUUUUGUUCUUCUCUGUUCUUCCUUUUCUGGGUUCCUCCCAAGAGGACCCAGCAUGAGGCUGACCCACAGUCUAAAGCGCGUGUCCCAGGGCAGGCGAGUGCUGGAGGAGAGCAGAGGCUCGCUGCGCUCAGGAGGGGCUCCUGCUGCCCCAGGAGAGGACUGCAGCAGGGCACGGGCCUCUCACGAAACUCACGUUGACCUAGCCCGCUGUAGGUUUUUUAAUUAAUUAUGCUGUUACAAUAUUUUUUCCAAGUAAAAAUUUUAUUUCACAAGUGCUGGAGACAUGAAACAUGUUGAAAAUGUUGCUAUUAAUAAGAAGUGAUAGUGAGGUUAAUAUUAUUUUAAUGCACUAGAAAGCUUUUGACUUUAACAAGAUUAUAAAUUUUGGUCUCUCCAAAAUAAUCAUAAACCUAUAAGGAGGUGUUAGAGUUGAGUAAUCACUGAGGUAGUUUUGAGGCUAUUUUAAUUAUGUAAUGAUUUAAUUUGCACUAUAUUCUUUAUAUGUGUGACAAGGCCUAUUUUGAAGGAAUAUUAUUUUUACUCACAUGAAUCAAUGAAUUUCUAUUUUAUUAUUUUACUUAGGGUUAAGGUAAAACAUGGUAUUUCAUAGACUCUGCUGUCAGUGUUUUCUUAAAGGUGUAAAAAAAUG